rnacentral:lncRNA from 1 species
GGUGGUACCUAACACUACAGGAAGAUAACUCUGUAAAGUCAGCUAAACGUUUUAAUUACGUUGUGUUGUAUAAGGAAUAUUAAGCUUCUUAAUGAUCAAAAUUGGUGUUUGUCAAACUGCUAUAUAACCAGUGUAUUUUUUCUGACAAAACGGUUGGUUCAAAAUUUUUGAAAUUUUUAUAUUUUUGUUAAAGGGUCAAAGUAAAUACUUUGUCAAAAUUUAAAUAAAAUUAAACGAGCCAAAUUAAUUUUAGUGAAAGUGUUAG